AAACCAUGAUUAGAACAUUUACGAAGAAAACCCUUAUAACGAUCCCAACAUUCAUACAUAUAUUCAUCACCGUCUUGGCGAAAGGAUAUUAUUUCAUUCCUUAGCUGAGUGU